GCUCCUGAAACGCCUCUGCAGCCUUCCUUUGUGCUUAUUUUAACCCCACAUUUGAAGAGCACGAUGGUGAGAAAACAGCCUGGAGUCCGGCCAGGGCUUUGAGAAACCGCAGCCAAACUGAUGGACCACCGGAAGGAUGAGCUGUGACCAGUCCAUGUGGUAGGGGAGAAAGAGCCCCGGACUCAGCUCAGAACACCCACCUGCGCAGCUGCGACUUGUCGAAAACAGGCCAGACGGGGAAACCAAAGUGCAGUUGAAAAUGCUGAUAAUGAACAGGGAGAGGUGGCCCAUGGAACCCAAGUUUGCAGUGCGGAGUGGGAAGUAGUCAUCCAGUGUCUCUGAAACAUCUAGCAUCUCUGAGACGCACUCUUAUAAGCCUCUACUAACACCAUCACUAGGAUCCAUCUUCAUAUUUCACGCUCUGUUCUGGAUGGAUUCUGUGGGCCCCUUUGUUUUCAAAACCACAAUUUUGCAACACCACUGGGAGGCAUGAAGACUGGAGGUCAGGAGAACGUGUUCCUGUGCUGGGCCACCUCCUGCCCUGGCGCCGUGGGUGGGCUGUGUUCGCCUACCAGUUCCCAUAGCUCCUGUCAGGUGGUCGUCCCCACACGGCUGCCCUCUCCAGGUCCCUCCGCUCGUCCCCAGCCCAGGGUGGCCACAAGUGGCUCUGCUGUUUCGGGCCCUCACCACGCUUGUCGGCUUCCUCGAGUCUGUCCACCCCUGUUACACUCACCUCCGGAGCCCACGGGAGGCACCUUCCAAUCCCUGCCAGAGUCCGACU